rnacentral:misc_RNA from 1 species
GUGAAUCAUCGAAUCUUUGAACGCACAUUGCGCCUCUCGUGAGGGAGGCAUGCCUGUCUGAGUCUCAUUUAAACUAAAUCCAUCCAUUGGAUUUGUGUUGGGCGCCUGCCUAUUUGGCAUCGCCUCAAAGUCAUCUGUCUAUUGAGCGGACGAGAUCCUUUCGGACUGACCGUUUGUAUGACAAUAAGUUAUCUCUGACUUGAGCUCAGAUCAGGUAGGACUACCGCCUGAACUUAAGCAUAUCAAUAAGCGGAGGA